rnacentral:tRNA from 1 species
GGCCGACUGGUGUAGCGGUUAUCACGUUUCGCUCACAUCUAACAAGUGUGAAGCUCCGAAAAGGUCCCCGGUUCGAUCCCGGGGUUGGUCA